GCACUAGUGAUCUAGCGGUAGAAUAGUACCCUACUACGCUACAAACCCAGGUUUGAUUCCCGGCUGGUGCA
rnacentral:tRNA from 1 species